rnacentral:rRNA from 1 species
CCUACGGGGGGCAGCAGUGGGGAAUAUUGGACAAUGGGGGCAACCCUGAUCCAGCCAUGCCGCGUGUGUGAAGAAGGCCCUCGGGUUGUAAAACACUUUCAGUGAGGAAGAACGCCUGGUGGUUAAUACCCAUCAGGAAAGACAUCACUCACAGAAGAAGCACCGGCUAACUCCGUGCCAGCAGCCGCGGUAAUACGGAGGGUGCGAGCGUUAAUCGGAAUUACUGGGCGUAAAGCGCGCGUAGGUGGCUUGAUAAGCCGGUUGUGAAAGCCCCGGGCUCAACCUGGGAACGGCAUCCGGAACUGUCAAGCUAGAGUGCAGGAGAGGAAGGUAGAAUUCCCGGUGUAGCGGUGAAAUGCGUAGAGAUCGGGAGGAAUACCAGUGGCGAAGGCGGCCUUCUGGACUGACACUGACACUGAGGUGCGAAAGCGUGGGUAGCAAACAGGAUUAGAUACCCUAGUAGUC